CUGGCUGAGGUCCUCGUGUGCAGAGCGCCAGGGGGCCCCGGGCAAAUGCAGAGAUGAUUCCAGAAGAGGUCAUGGUGUGCAGGGCAGACGUGUCCAAGGCUUUCACAUCACAAAACAGAACAGCGACCGGCUGGGAGCGACGGGCACACCAAGCACCCCAGGAAGAGGUCAGGGCGGCACGUCGCUUUGCUGGGUAAAAAGACAACGGAUGGGGUCCGUGCAGGGCUCUGGGGGUGCCCGUAAGCACGAAGAAGUGUUCUGAGCUCAGACACGCGCCCAGCCCUGCGAACGUCUCCCGCCUAGUUUGCUGGCCUUGUGACACCCUACGUGACUUCCUAAACCCGUAGAUGAGCCACAGACACGAUGCAGACAAGACAAGUCUGCGCACGGAGCCCAGUCCUUCCUGCCCCGUGGAGAACACGCCUGCUCCAGUCCGCUCGAGUCGUCCAGGGAAGCAGCCCCACGUUCAGAGGCAGGAGUGACCUCUCCUCACCUCGCCGUGCUCUCUGUUGCCAGGGAGGAUGUUACAAAUAGAAACGAUUCUCAGGAAUGGUGAUGCGAACAGAGGAAAUUCCCGCGGCCAGACGAUGGAACGCUGCAGCUCCAGAAAUGUGGGCUCAUCAAGGGCUGAGUUUGGCCUGAGCCCUCGUAAAACGGAUCAUGGGAUCUACGCGGAGGGCGUGUGAGGUCGAUUGGUUACAGGACAGCAGAUAUUCUGCGCGCCGCCCUCAGCUGCGCUGUCUCCCGGAUGGGAAGACACGUCCCUCUAGGAAGACGGUGGAGGCUGUAAACGUUUAUUGUCGACAUCAAGAACAAUACCCAAUGUAUGUAAGCUGCUCUGUAGCUUUUUCUGGUACCGUCACAUCGAUGGGUUCACUUAAGUCCUAUACACAACCCUUUGAGUGUGGUUGUAUUAUUCCAGGUUCACAGGUACAGAAAUUAAGUUCAGAGAGAUUAACGGAUUUCCCCCAUGGUUAUACAACUUAUAACAAUAACCGGCACCCGUGUAACUUUUUGAGUAUUCAGACCAUUUCAGCUCAGUGCUCUGUGACGACCUAGAUGGAUGGGAUGGGGAGAGG